rnacentral:misc_RNA from 1 species
AACGCACAUUGCGCCCCUUGGUAUUCCAUUGGGCAUGCCUGUUCGAGCGUCAUUUACACCCUCAAGCUACGCUUGGUGUUGGGCGUCUGUCCCCGCUUCCCGCGAGGACUCGCCCCAAAUCCAUUGGCAGCGGCAUCGCCGGCUUCUCGCGCAGCACAUUGCGCUCCAGAAGGCUCCCGGCGGGCUCGCGUCCAGCAAGAACCCCCCCCCAGUUUGACCUCGAAUCAGGUAGGGAUACCCGCUGAACUUAA